CCCUCCAAAUCCCCGUGGGGCGGGAGUACAGGUCAGGGUCAGGAUUAUGUGGUGGAGAGGAACAAGAGGUGAGGGGUGGGGAGGUGUGUGUGGGAAGUCAGCUGGUUUUGAGGUUUGCUCCUUGAGGCCAGCAGGAAGGAAAAGCUUGGGGUCAGGUUUGGGCAGACAACCCGCCAUCCCCACCCCCAACCCCUGGUCCUGAAUUCUGGCCCUUCUGAGGCUUAUCUCUUGCCAGGGCUGUUCCAAUGUCCCUGGCAAAGCCAGAGUUGGUGUUAGGGGGAUGGGGUAAGGGUAAUGGUGGUGAGUCCUGUACCCCGACUCUCUGCUCCCCACUCUGCCUGGCAUUUUUAAGGUUUCAAACUUAUUUCUGGGCAAAAUAGUACCUCAGCCAUAAGCACAUCGUGAGUCUUUAGUGGUUUGCUAUAAGCUCAGGAGGCUGGUGUCAUGAUGAUAGAAACGGCUGUCUACAGUGGCUGCUGGGAUAUGGGAAUAGAAAGGGGUGAGGCGUGGGGCCGGGGGAAGGGGCUCCCAGGAAGUGAAUCCUACUCUCUCUUGGAUUGUGCGAGGUGCAGAGAAAGGCUGCUGGUCUUCCUUUGGGAUCCUGGCACUCGAGGCGAAUGGAUGAGGGCUAAGCUUCGCCCCCUGCCUUUUAUAAUUUUCAUUUUUCUAUGUUACUGUGUUGGACUCUUUCCACUUUGUCCCCUGCUUUUUUCUCCUUCCUUCCCUUUGGGGAACUAGGUGCCUUAGAAACCACGGAAGUCUGUCUUACAGUUCUGGCAGUUUCCAUGUCUGGUGAGAGCCUGUUCCUGGUUCAUAGCUGACUGUCUUCUCCCUGAGUCUUUACAUGGCAGAAGGGGUCUCUUUCAUAAGGGCACUAAUGCCAUAAUAAGGGACCUGAUUAUCUCCCAAAGACCCCACCUUCUAAUGCUUGGGAGUUAGGACUUCAAUAUGAAUUUUGGGGGGAAACAUUAAUGUUCUACUCAUUCAGAAUGUUUGUAUCCAUUGAAAUUUUUAGAAUUUUCCCUGAAAAGUUAGAAAAUGAAUUUUUUUGAAAAAAAGAUUUAUUCACUCAUUUGAAAGUAAGAGUUAUAGUGAGAGAGAGCGAGAUUGAUCAAUUUUCUAUCAAUUGGUUCAUUCCACAUGGGUGCAGGCACACAAGCACUUGGGCCAUCUUUUGCUGCCCCUUCCAGGCCAUUAGCAGGGAGCUGGAUUGGAGGUGGAGAAGCUGGGACAUGAACCAGCUUCCAUAGGCAAUGCCAGUGUCACAGGUGGCAGCUUUCUCACUACGCCACAAUACUAGCCCCAAGAAGAGGAAUUUUACAAACUGUUCUAAGUCAGUGCUCUGGAAUCGGAUAGGCUAGGUACAAAUUCAUGUACUAAUGUGCUUAAUGUUGGGGGAAGUUACUUUCUCUGGACCUCAAUUUUCUCAUCUUUGAAACGGGGAUGAUUAUGGAAAUUGAGAGGUAGUAAUGUAUAGGACUGUGGUUUGUAGAAUGCUAUUUAAAAAUAGUAGUUGUUAUUCCUCCCAAGCCCUGUUUCCUAGAAGAUUAAAUGAGAUAUCUUGUGGGGUCUCAGGAGUUCAUUUUUUUAAAAGACUUAUUUAUUUGAGAGGUAGAGCUACAGUCAGAGAGGGGUGGAGAGAGAGGUCUUCCAUCUGCUGGUUCACUCCCCAAAUGGCUGGGAUGGCUGGAGCUGAGCCGAUUCGAAGCCAGAAGCUUCCGCUGUGUCUCCCAUGCAGGUGCGGGGGCCCAAGCACUUGGGCCAUCUUCUGUUUUCCCAAGCCACAGCAGACAGCUGGAUCAGAAGAGGAACAACUGGGAUACGAACUGGUGCCUGCAUGAGAGGCUGGUACCACAGGUGGAAGCUUAGCCUCCUACUUAGCCACAGCUCUAACCCCUCUUUUGUUUGUUUUUGAUUCAGCUACAGGCUUACACAAAAUACAUUCCAGCAAAAAUUACACAGCUACAAUGGAACCUGAGCCUUCUCUUUUGAUGUUAAAUGAAAAAUGAUAAUGAUGCAAAAUCUAGUUUUAGCAGGAUCUGAGCCAAUGUUCUUCCUUCCAUGUUAACGAUAAGUAAAUAGCCGCAGAUACUGCAAAGUCAAUUCAGGAUCAAGCUUUUGCCUUUGCCAGGCUCAGGCUUGUUGGGCUGGGAACCUGCUCUGGGGCCAGGGUUAGGGAUGGGGCAUGGCUAGUGCCCUAGUGUUCUAUUUUCCCAGCAUCCACCGUGCAGUUCUGGGUCAGGGAAGAGAGAAGGGUCGGGAAGGCCUUAUAUGACAGGGCAGUCGUGAUCUGGCACUGGGGCAGCUGGGUGAGUUGGAUGCUAUUGGCACCUGCUUUUAGUGGAGAGAGGGAGCUCUCAGUGAGUUUCCAGGGACUCUGGCCCUACCUGCUUCCCACCUGCAGCACCCAUUGUGGGCAGUGACUUGUACAGCUGGGCACUGGAGGCUCCCCUUCAGCCAGUCUCUUCUUCCUCUAUGGAGGUCACCUCUCUGUCUGGAUUCGGUUAAGAAAACCCAAGUCUGGUUUUCUUUGUUGAUUGUACCUGUCCAGUGGGAAACCAAUGAAUGUCUUCACCCCGCAAAUUCUGGCCAUUGCCUUGUCCUGCAUCCCUGUGGCCAGGUAGGCUAUUCCAGUCACCCUCUUGCCUUUGACUCAUGAAGGAUGAGUCAGGGGCCAGUCUGUAGGUUCCAGGGAGCGAAUGACAAACUCCCCAAAUUGUCCUCUUAAAGAGCCCCUCACCUGGCACAACAGGGGGAAGUUCCACCUUCCCUUGUGGGGAGGGAAACUCUUGGGACACCACUGUCUUCAAAGAAGUCCUAACUGCUUCCUAGCUUCUCCUCCUAAGGAAUUCUCCCAUUUUUCCUUAUAUGACCAUAAAGCUGGCAACAGGCUUCUAUUGGAGACACUGUUUUUGAUUAUACACGAGCAAAUUCUGCAGGGAUGGGCUCAACAUCUAUUAUUUCAGCCUCAGGGCUGGGCCAAUAUGUUGAUGCUGGGAGAUUCCCAUCUGCACACUCUGCUUCCCCAAGGAAAGGGUACGCGCUUACAGGGUGGGCCUGUGGACAGGCCCCCCCGCCCCCCCAACCUCUCCAGAGGCCUCUGGGUACCCUCCUGUUGUACAUGCCGCAAAGUACUACUACUACUACUACUACUACUACUUCUACUUCUACUAUACUACUACUACUACUGCUACUUUAUUUUUUUUAAAAGAUCUAUUUAUUUGAAAGGCAGAGUUACAGAGAGGCAGAGAGAGAGAGAAAGAGAGAGAGAGAUCUUCCAUCUGCUGGUUUACUCCCCAAAUGGCUGCAAGGGCCAGAGCUGAGCCAAUCUGAAGCCAGGAGCUUGUUCUGGGUCUCCCAUGUGGGUGCAGGGUCAUCUGAUGCAGCUGCCUUCCCAGGAACAUAAGCAGGGACCUGGAUUGGAAAUGGAGCAACUGGGACUAGAACUGGCAACCAUAUGGCAUGCCGCUACAGUGCUGAACCCAUGCCCCAAACUUCUUUACCAAAGAAGUUGCUAACUCUUUGUCACAAUUAAGCCCAAGCCAAGUGGCUUUACACUAGUGGUUAAUUAAGCAAAACCAGUCUGGUUCUAUGAAAUCAAAUUAAAGCAAAUGUAAACUCAACACUGUUCCCUCUCCCAGAAUUAUUUGUAUGUUGAAUGAGAAGGAAAAUUCAUGGGUGUGUGUAUGUGUGAAAUCUAACAGAGUUUUGGCAUAGAAUUUUUGGCAGAUGAAGCCCAUGUUGUGUCCUGUUGUGCUGUGCUGUCUAGGGCUAGAGGUGAGGUGGGGAACUUUGAAGAAGCUUAGAGGCCCCUCUCUUCUGUUGACCCUGAGUUGUCACCAAUGUGACUCACAUUCUCUGUCAGCUGGUGACCAGGAUGGCAGAUGUAUCAAAAUGAUCCCCAAUUUAGAAGGUAUGUGGAAACCAAACCAAACCAAACCCUACCACAUACAAGAUGCCUUCAGCACUAUUCAGAAAGUCACUGCUGUCCCUGUGUUCCCUCAUAGCCAUUUCUUCUUCAAAACUUUUUUAUUGGAAUUUUUUAGUUUUCAACAGAUUCAAUGUGAUUUGUAGAUACAAUUAUUUUUUGGUAUUUAUUUUUUAUUCCAGGUAUUCACAAUUGGUUCAAAAAUCAAUGAAUGUAAUCCAUCAUAUAUACAGUUUAAAUAUUUAUCAUAUGAUCAAAUCAACAGAUGCAGAAGAAGAAUUUAAAAAACAUACCAUACAAUUCUAAGAAAAUAUUCCCUUCCUCCCUCCCUUCCUCCCUCCCUCCUUCUCCCUUUUCGUAGCUGCUUCUUAAAAUGACCAGUAGGGGGCACUGCAGGGUGAGAUUCCCAGCACUCCCUCCACUUCUCAUGAAAAAUUGUUGCAACAUGAAAUAUGGAAUACAAUACACCUAUUUUUGUUCUAAUAAUAUAUGCUGAGAGAUUGACUAUAAAUUUAGAGUCUUAGUUGUUCUUGGGAUGUUAUUAUCUAAAGAAAAAAGUUUUAGCUUGAAGGAUAAGGGACACAUGUAGACUGGGUGUUAAGUCAUAGAGGCACCAGCCACUAAUGAUCGCCCCUGGAAAAGUGGUUCAGACCUGACCAUUGUGUGACUCUGAUGCGUUAGGAUAGGCCAUGAAAGAAGGAUCUGGCAGCCUUAGUUUGGGGGACCUGGGGAGCCAGAGACAUGAAAGCUGAGUGUUUUAAAAUGCCAGGAAGCAGCUCUCCUCUGUGUUUACUUUAUUAGAUACUUAAAUAUUUUAUUGGAUGUCAGACCAUUGAACUUAAUGCCAGCAGCAAGUUUGUUAUAAAAUGAAAUGAAGAAGGGACAAACAGUUCUUUUUGUCAAGGGAGGGGUAUUGAGGUACCCACAGAGACUAAAGAGAAAACAAAUCAAAUUUUAAAAGAGGUACAGAUUAAAAAAAAAAAGCCCACAAAAGCCCAAGGCAGAUUUUGAAAUUGGGGCAUUUAAAUUUAAAACAAAAUUGCUCAAUCAGGGAAUGCGUCCACAUGAUUUAAAUGAGAAAGUUCACAGAGGUUUAUGGCGAGAAGCCUCUCACCCCUUUCUACCCAGUGCAAACUUCUCAUCCCCAGGACUUUGUAGAAAGAUCUUAAGCAUGUACAGAGAUUGUCAUUCUAGGUUUACAUUUGUAAUAUGACUAUUUUUCGGAGAUAGUUCUGUUUUAUUUAAUUUUAAAAGGAUUUAUUUGAAAUACAGAGGAAGUAUGAGUGAAUGAAGGAGAGACAGAUCUUCCAUUUGCUGGUUCACUUCCCAGUGGUUCAAAGGGCUAGGGCUGGGCCAGGCCAAAGCCAGGAGUCCAGAGCUCCAUCCAGGUUUCCCACCUGGGUGGUGGGCGCCCAAGUAUUCGUGCCAUAUUUUGCUGCUUUUCCAGGCAGAUUAUCAGGGAGCUGGAUCAGAAGUGGAGCAGCUAGGACUGCAACUGGUGCUCUAAUAUGGAAUGCCAGUAUCACAAGUAGAGGCUUAAUCUGCUGUGCCAAAAUGCUAGCCCCAAUAAUUCUAUUUUAGUUCUAACACAUUUUCUUCUUGAAUUAUUGCUUACAAAGUAUUCCAUUGUCCAUAGGUAGACAUUUGGACUAUUUUCAGUUUUCCCCUGCUAUGAGUGAGGAUUUGUUGGACAUUCUUAACUAUUGCGCAUGACACCUGCCCCUGCGAGUUGUGUGGCAAGCCAGAGCUCUGGGGCAUAUGCCACGGCCCUCUACUGCAAUCAGUUCAGCAUUAGGAUGCUUCGCGAGGUUGCCAUGGAAAAGGUGCAUUCACAGGGAGCCCAAGAGGUCUUUAUAUACCCACCAGUCCAAUGUGGUAACAAUCUAUGGAUCUAUAUACCUACAAGUCCAACGUGGUAACAAUCUAUGGAUCUAUGUAUGAUCUCAUCUCUAGCCCGAGGCCAGUUGCAAUCUUUGUAAAGUUUCGUUUAUACCUUGUCUCUUGCUGUAUUCAGCCUGAGGAAGUUUUUCUCAUCCUGUUGCUUUGCCUUUAUCCUUCAGUUUAUUCAUCUGUAAAUUCAGAAAACAACUACAAAUUGUCUUCAAAUUUGAGUCAUCAUAGUUUUUUUCUUUGUAAGACCAAUGAAAUUGAGGAGGAACUCAAAGGCUCAGACAAAAACAAAGGCUGAUACUGUUUCUUAGUUCUCUGAUUAUUUCUUGGCAAACAGUUCUCCAUGGAAAUCCUAAAGUACCUCUGAGAAGCUGUAAGGACCCCGGGGAGGAUUGUAGGAAAGCAAAUAAACACCUGCUUGCUGGUUUUCUGUUCAUGUCUACAACACAUAGGGAUUGAGAUUGGGGACCAUGACUCACAGGUUGAGAGUCUACCAUCUCCCAGCUGUUCUACAAAUUAAGGAAUGAGAUAUGCUCUGUCCAGCAGAGAAAAGACCAGAGACUUAGAACAUGCAUGCUAGGAGUAGGUAAGGAUGUAGGGCCGAAAGAAAUAAUAAUAAAAAUAAUUUUAAAAAGGUAAGAACUGGAACUAUAAAGGAGGGAAGCCAUUCCUGCGGCAUUUGAUUCAUGUCUUGAGCAGUAAGUACCUUCUGUGAGUUGGCUUCUCAAUAUAGGAGGCUCUGAGAAGGAAAAGGACCAUACAGCAAGCAGAGAGGCCAGGAAGUACAUAGAAUUUUGCUGAGAUUUAAACAGUAUAAAGGCAUCUGGGCAUGUUGAUAUUUUUCAGUGACCUAAAUAGCUUCACUUCCAGGCUUGCGUGAGGUUGGGAAGAUUCUCAGCGUGGUGAGGUUGAGUAGUCUGCAGGAAGCAUGUUCUAAUUUUUCUCUACUUUCUGGAGGAGGACUCCUGCAUCUUUGUUAUAUGAUGUUAAUGACCAUUAGUCAGUGGUCAUUUGGCUCUUAGCAUUCAUCCUCUGUGGGCCCGAGGCAUCUGGGGACAUUUGACUGUGGCAGGCAGAGUUUGAUAACGAUUUAGACCUAAAAUCUCUCCAGAGUGAAUGCUUGUAUCCCUGGCUCAUUGAAUGAUAACAGAGGUAUGUGACUUGUGAAUCACAUCCGAAAGUCCCCAGCGGUCUCAUUUUCCUCUCUAAUUAUAGCAACUUAUCCCUUAUAUUCCAGUUAAGAACGAUUUCCAGCAUUGAUAAAUAUUUGAGAUUUUUUCAAACUUAUGAGAUGUGGCAAAAAAAUUGAAUAAGAGUUACAUGGGUUCGAAAUUCUUAAUAAUAUUAUGCUAGCAUUAUCACUCCCUGCACUUUCCUGUAAGAUUUGCUGUCGCAGAAUUUGGAUGUGAAUUUUAAAUGUAAGAGGAGAUGAGAAGUGCAGGGUGUACGUGUGUGUGUGUGUGUGUGUGUGUGUGUGGAGUUACGUUUUUGAACUUGUUUAGGGUACCUAAGCAUAUAAUGAUAGCAGAAACAAAGCUUUAUGACACAAAUAUUCUGUUUCUUCCAAUCUUUAUUACUGUGUGGGAUUAUGAGAGAUGACUGGGAUCCUUUUUCUGCAAAUAUGUGUGAAGUUUUGGAUCUUCAAAGAAGGAAUCAAAAUCUCUGUUUACUGACUUGUUAAUGCUAGAAGCCAUCUCCCCUAGAAAUGCUUCAUCAUACUGCAGGCAUUUCUGAAGCCUUUUCACAGAAAUGAAUUUGCACAGGCUAAUGACUUGCAGCGUAAUGUAGGAGAUGAACCUGUCUUGAAAGAUCCUGUAUUAUAGGCUAAUCAGCUUCUACAUUGAAGGGUAGGGGACUGACAAGACCAAGGCAAGGGUCUGAUCUUGUUAUGGACUAUUGACACGUUUGCCAACCUCAGAAAGAGGUUGCUGCUUCCUGUCACAGAGGGCUAGGCUUAGUGUGAAUCUUAUCACUCAUUGUCACCCACAUUGAAGCAAUGGUAUCAUUUGUUUCAUCAAAGGAAAACGUGCAUACUGCUGUGGAAGAGGCAGAGCUAAUUAAAUGGCUUAGUAAAUUAACUAUGUCUCAUAUGAGAAGUCUCUUAGAAUGAUUCCAGUAAUUUUUAUUAACAAUUACUGCACAUAUUUAUGGGAUACAAUGCAACAUUUCAAUAUACAUAUACAGUUUGUAGCGAUCAAAUCAGAGUAAUCAACAUUUCUUUUUCUUUGAUAGAAUUUUGGAGCCUUGGAGCUCCUUUUUUUGGUCACAAUAUAUGUAAUAAAUUAUAAUUUAAUAUUUGUGUAUUUGAAAGUGAGUGAGUGUGUGAGAGAGAGUGUAUGAGAGAGUGUGUGAGUGUGUAUGACAGUGAGAGAGUGAGAGAGAGUGAGAGAGUGAGAGAGAGCAAGAGAGUGAGAGAGAGUGAGAGAGUGAGAGUGAGUGAGAGUGAGAGAGUGAGAGAGUGAGUGAGAGAGUGAGUGAGAGAGAGUGAGAGUGAGAGAGAGUGAGAGAGAGUGAGUGAGAGUGAGUGAGAGUGAGAGAGAGUGAGAGAGAGAGUGAGAGAGAGUGAGAGAGAGUGAGAGAGAGUGAGAGUGAGAGAGAGUAUGAGAGAGUGAGAGAGAGUAUGAGAGAGUGUGAGAGAGAGAGUGAGAGGGAGAGUGAGAGAGAGUGAGAGAGAGAGAGUAUGAGAGAGAGUGAGAGAGAGUGUGUGAGAGAGUGAGUGAGUGUGUGAGAGAGAGAGAGUGUCUUUCCAGAGUGUCUUGGCUUUCCAUGCCUGAAAUACUCUCAUGGGCUUUUCAGCAGGAUCCAAAUGCCUUAAGGGCUGAUUCUGAGGCCAGAGUGCUGUUUAGGACAUCUGCCAUUCUAUGAGUCUGCUGUGUAUCCCGCUUCCCAUGUUGGAGCAUUCUCUCUUUUGUAUUCUAUCAGUUAGUAUCAGCAGACACUAGUCUUGUUUAUGUGAUCCCUUUGACUCUUAGUCCUAUCAUUAUGAUCAAUUGUGAACAGAAAUUGCUCACUUGGACUAGUGAGAUGGCAUUGGUACAUGCCACCUUGAUGGGAUUGAAUUGGAAUCCCCUGGCACAUUUCUAACUCUACCAUUUGGGGCAAGUCCGAUUGAGCACCACCUUGUUGAUUCCAUAUCUUGGCUAACGUGAAUAACUUCAAUAAACAUGAUGAUGCAGGAAUCUCUUUGAUAUAAUGAUUUCAUGUCUUGGAUAUAUACAUAGUACUGGAAUUGCAGGACCAUAUAGAAGUUCUAUUUCUAGUUUUUUUUUUUAAUUAAAGUUUUUAUUAUUUGAGAGGUAGAGUUACAGAGAGAAGGAGGGAGAGAAGGAGGGAGUGGGGGAGAAGGGAGAAGGGAGAGGUCUUCAACUGCUGAUUCACUUCCCAAAUGGCUCCAAUGACUAGAGCUGGACUGAUCUGAAGCCAGGAGCCCAGACUUCUCCAGGGUCUCCCACACGGGUGCAGGGGCCCAAGCACUUGAUCCAUCUUCUCCUUUCCAAGGCCAGAAGCAGAGAGCUGGAUAAGAAGAUGAGCAGCCAGACGUGAACUGGCUCCCAUAUGGGAUGUUUGCCAGUGCUGCAGGCAGAGGCUUAGCCUACUAUGCCACAGUACCGGCCCCCAUUCCUAGGUUUUUAAAAAUAGGAAUCUCCAUACUGUUUUCCACAGUGGCUGUACUAAUUUACAAUCCUACUAACAGUGUAUAAGAAUUUCCCCUUCUCCACAUCUUUACCAGCAUUUAUUACUUUAUAUUUUUAAUAAUAGCCAUUCUAAUAAGUGAGGUGAUAUCAUUUUGGUUUUGGUUCAUGUUUCUCUGAUGGCUAAUGAUAUUGAACAUUUUGUCAUAAUAGAUUUUUUGUUCAUUUAUAGAUCUUUUGAGAAAUGUUUGUUCAGGUAUUUUGCCCACUUUUUAUCUGGCUUUAUCUUUUUUUGUUGUUGAGUUUUUUGAGUUCUUUAAGUAUUCUGGAUAUUAGUCUUUUAAGUAGUUUCCAAAUAUUUCCCCCUAUUCUUAGAGUGAUUCUAACAAUUUUGAACAAGUAAAUCAACAAAUAUUUUUGACUAUUUGACUAGUCCCUCUCUAAAUAUGUACUCUGAAAAUAGCAGGACUGGUAUCCAAUUGUGGCUGAUAAAGGGUAAAAAUCCAUAGCACAUCAAGUCCUUAUGAACAGAGCUGUCAGUAAUUUCUUUUUCUUAAAAUAGAGAAAAACCUUAAGCUAAUUUUUAAAGGCUUUGGGUAGAUUAUAAGCACCUUAAGGGUCAGGGUCAAUUUUUUUAAAAUCUUGUCCCUCCUCUUAUUCCUUUGGGUCUGACCCUUUGGGCUGAGUGAAACCAUCCACUGUGUUGAUAACAUGUUUCGGCUUUUCCUGUCUGAAUGAAGUCCUCCUAGAGCUGAAAGGAGACCAUGGUGAUGGGAGGUGAUGUUAUGAAGGGCAUGUGGACUGCGGAAGGAAAUAGACACCUCUGAGUGUUACAGGAGAGGCAGAGCAUCCUAGACCAGUGUGAGCUGUCUUCAUCCCUCAGUGGUGACUGUGAGCAAGUUCUGAAACUCUGAGUGCCGUAGUUUCCUCACCUGUGAAGCUGAGAUCAUAAUGUAGCUACAAUAGAGUUGUUUCAAGUAUUAAAUGAGCUAAUAUAUUAGAACUUGGAACAAUAAUUGGCAAUGGUAGUUGCUCAACAAAUAUUAACCAUUAUUAUCAUCAGUGUUAAAGAUCUUGGGGGAAAGAACAGAUUACCCUCCCUUACCCGUAUAAAAUAUUUAACAAACACAUGAGAGUACAUCAAAGAGUUCAUGUAAAAUGCAAUUGAAAGACAUUUUUGUGCAAAAACAGUUUUUGAAGUCUAUGCAUAGUUUUUCAUAAUGAAUAUAUUCCUUGAAAUUUUUUGAAGAUACUCUCAUCUUAUUUUUUCUUUCAUAUUUUUGAGAAUCAUUUUUUAAAAGAUUUAUGUACUUACUUGAAAGGCAGAAUUACAGAAAGGCAGAGGCAGAGAGAGAGAGAGAGAGAGAGAGUGAGCGAGCACAAGCGAGCUUCAAUCUGCUGGUCCUCAAAUGGUCACAAAGGCCAGAGUUGAGCUGAUUCAAAGCCAGGAACCAGGAGCUUCUUCCAGGUCUCUGACAUGGUUGGAGGGGCCUAAGGACUUGGGCCACCUUCUACUUUCCUAGGCCAUAGCAGAGCUGGAUUUGAAGUGAUGCAGCUGGGACUUGAACCAGUGCCCAUAUAGGAUGCCAGCACUGCAAGUGGCAGCUUUACCUGCUAUGCCACAGCACCAGGGAAAUAAAAUUUUUAAUUUACCUUAGAGUCAAAGUCUUAAUGUUCCUUUAAACAAAGAGUUCAGUAAAAAAGACGACUAUAGUUCAGCAGGAAUAUAGGUAAGAGUGAUAAUAAUAAAAUGAAAAGAUGUCAACUUCACCCAGAUAUGGUACUUUUUUUUUUUUUUUUAAAGAUUUAGUUAUUUGAAAGGCAAAAUUAGAGAGGCAGAGGCAGAGAGAGCGACAUCUUCCAUCCACUGGUUCACUCCCCAGAUGGCCACAAUGACCAGAGCCAGGAGCUUCUUCCAGGUCUCCCACACGGGUGCAGGGGUCCAAGCACUAGGGCCAUUUUCUACUGCUUUUCCAGGCCAUAGCAGUCAGCUGGAUUGGAAGUGGAGCAGCUGGGACUCAAAUUGGCACCCAUAUGGGAUGCUGGCACUGCAGGCAGCGGCUUUACCCGCUAUGCCACAGUGCUGGCCCCCAGGUAAAGUGCAUUUUAGAGUAGUCACAGAUCCUUAAAACUAUUAUAGUAUAUAAUUGAUAAUCUUUUUGACAAAGAUUAAAAAUAAAAUCUGACAAACCACUAUUUGAAGCAAAACUGAUACAGGCAUUUCUCAUUUUUUUUUUUUUUUUGCUUAUUUUUGAUUUUAAAAAUUUUAGCUCUGGGGCUGGCGCCGUAGCUCAGUUGGUUAAUCCUCCGCUCGCAGCGCUGGCAUCCCAUAUGGGCACCGGGUUCUAGUCCUGGUUACUCCUCUUCAGUCCAGAUCUUUGCUGUGGCAUGGGAGGGCAGUGGAGGAUGGCCCAAGUGCUUGGGCCCUGCACCCGCAUGGGAGACCAGGAAGCUCCUGGCUUCGGAUCGGUGCAGCGCCGGCUGUAGCGGCCAUUUGGGCAGUGAACCAAUGGAAGGAAGACCUUUCUCUCUGUCUGUCUCUCUCACUGUCUACAACUCUACCUGUCAAAUAAAUAAAUUUAAAAAAAUUAAAAAUUUUAACUUCACCUAUAAGAGCAUGCAGUAUUUAUCUUUCUGUGUCUGGCAUAUUUCAUUCAACAUGUUGUCCUCUAGUUGCAACUAUUUUGAUGAAAAUGAUAUUUCAUUUUUUAAAAUAGCUGAGUAAUAUCUAGCUAUAUGUGUAUAUAUCAUCCAUUCAUCUGAUGAUGGAUGCCUUGGUUGAUUCCAUAUUCUGGCUAUUAUGAACUGGGCUGCUGUAAACAGGGUGGUGCUGGUAUCUCUUUGAUACAGUGUGUUCAUGGCUUUUGGGUAUAUGCCCAGCAGUGGGAUUGCUGGAUCAUAUGGCAAGUCAAUUUCUAUUUUUUAAAGAAAUCUCCAUGCUGUUUUUGAAGUAGCUGUGCUAAUUUAUAUUCCCACCAUCAGCGUGUAAUAGGACCCCCUUCUCCACAUCCUCACCGGCAUUAGAUACCCUCUGUCUUUUGGAUAGUAGCCAUUCUGCCAGGGGUGAGGGCAUUCUUUAAGCUGUAGAGAGAUUUUUAUGAACUUGCAAUAUAGUAAUUCACAAAUGUGGAAUCUACUGUGCUUUUCUUCGCUUCAGCCUCUUUGGUGUUAAUCUCCCUGGGUCCUGGGUGUUUUGUGCUCUCUAGAGGAUCUGGGAGGCAGUGUAGCCUAACUGGAAGGAACUCCGAAAUCAGAGCAGGUUCCUUUUCCAGCCCUGCUGUUGUUGCUUCCUAGCCCUAUGAGCCAUGGUUGUUGCUCAGCUUCUUAGCUAGCAAAGUUAAUGUGAGAAUUAUCUGAAAGGUUUUAAGAGCAAAAUAUGUAUGGAAUUAUAAUGAUAUGAGAUCUGUAAUGUAAUAAGCAUAAGGUUUUAUAAGUGAAAAAGAACAUUGUUUCCCAAAAAGUAUUCAUCUAGAGCCACGGAUGCUGUACAUAACACUCAAAAUAAUUUGGUACUCCUUUUAGAAACAGUUUCAGAUUCAUGAAUGAAAACCAGUCUCAAAACUUUACAUCACUUCUUUGUUUUUUUUAUAAACUUUCAACUUCUUAAAUCUUUUUUAAAAAAGAUUUAUUUAUUUGAAAGAGUUACAGAGAGAGAGAGAGAUCGAUCUUCAUCUGAUGAUUCACUCCCCACAUGGUUGCAAUGGCCAGGGUCAGGGCUGGGCCAGACUGAAGCCAGGAGCUUCUUCUGGGUCCUCCACAUGGGUACCAGGGCCUAAGCACUUGGGUCAUUUUCCACUGCUUUCCUCAGGUACAUUAGCAAGGAGCUAGAUUGGAAGUGGAGCUGUUGGGUCUUGUCUGCAUCUCAUCUGGGAUGCUGACAUUGCUCGCAGUAGUUUUAUCCUCUCUGCCACAAUGCCAGCCCCAACUUUUUAGUUUAUAACAAACUUUUUUUUUUUUUUUGACAGGCAGAGUGGACAGUGAGAGAGAGAGACAGAGAGAAAGGUCUUCCUUUGCCGUUGGUUCACCCUCCAAUGGCCGCCGUGGCCGGCGUGCUGCGGCCGGCGCACCGCGCUGAUCCGAUGGCAGGAGCCAGGUGCUUUUCCUGGUUUCCCAUGGGAUGCAGGGCCCAAGCACCUGGACCAUCCUCCACUGCACUCCCUGGGCACAGCAGAGAGCUGGCCUGGAAGAGGGGCAACCGGGACAGAAUCCGGCGCCCCAACCGGGACUAGAACCCGGUGUGCCGGCGCUGCUAGGCGGAGGAUUAGCCUAGUGAGCCGUGGCGCCGGCAGUUUAUAACAAACUUUUUAGUUUAGAAUAAUUACAGACUUAUACAAGGUUGCAAAGAUAGUUCAAGGAAGUUUCAUAUAUCCUUCAUCAAAAUUCCCCAAAUAUUGAUGUCUUGUAUAAUCACAGUAUGAUAACCAAAAGCAGAAAGUUAACAUUCAUGCAAUAUCACUAUUGGGGAGAUAGUUUAGCCUAGAGGGUAGGACACUGGUUUAGACACCUGCAUUCUGCAUUGGAGCAUCUGAGUUUGAUCCUAGGCUCUAGCUGCUGACCCCAGCUUCUUAUUAAUGCAGACCCUGGGUGGCAGUGGCGAUGGCAUAAGUGAUGGGGUUCCUGACACCCACGUGGGAGGUUGGGAUCAAGUUCUCAGCUUUGGUCCUUCUUAGCCCUGAUUUGUGGGCACUUGAGGAUGGAAUCAGAGGAUGGGAGUGUUCUUUGUCUCUAUCUCUCAAAUAAAUGAAUAGAUAAAUAAAAAAUAAUGUAGGAUUUACUUAGAACCUAUACACAUCUUCCCAUAUACUUAAAAAAGCAUCCAAUCAGCAAACCUUAUCCAAAUCUUACUGACUGUUGUAAUGUUUCUUGUUAGUUGCAUGCCCUCAGUUUCCUUUAAUCUGGAAGAGUUCCUUGGUCUUUGUCUGCUAUGAUCUUGACACUUUGGAAAGGAUUGGUCAGUUAUUUUGUGGAUUGUGUCUCAGCUUGGGUUUAUCUGAUAUUUUCUCAUAAUUAAAUGCAUUUUUGGCAAGAAUCCCAUAGACUUAAUGCCAUGGCCUUCUUGGUAUAUUAUAUCAGGCACAUGAUGUCAGCUUGUCUGAUGAUGUUAACUUUGCUCACUUGGUGAAGGGGAGGGUCUUCCAGGCUUCUCCACUGUGACGUUCUUACUUUUAUAAGUAAGUAUCUUGAGAUAUGAAUAUUUGGAGGUUAUGUAAAUACCCUUUGCCUCAUUUACUCUUUAGCAUCUAUUUAUAAUUUUUCUCCAGCACAAUUACUUGGGUGUUUGCCAAAUGGUCACAUUUACUUACAACUUUGAACCAUAUCUCCAGAUUGAUGAGUCACUCUUUCCACACCCAACUCAGGGUGACUGGGUUGUUCCCCACAUUCAGAGCCAACACUCAGAGGUUUGAUUCUUUUUUUUUUCUCCUUGCUUCCUCCCUGCCAUGAUUUAUACAGCCUAUAUGAGACCUAUCUGACAGAGGAAAGCACAUGUUCUUGGAACACAGCUCUCAAUUAGAAUCCUAGAACUCAGCCCAUGCAAGUUGGGUGACCUCAUUUAAGUAAGUUAGUCUUGGCUGGCGCCGUGGCUCAAUAGGCUUAUCUUCCACCUGCAGCGCCGGCACACUGGGUUCUAGUCCCGGUUGGGGCGCCAGAUUCUGUCCCGGUUGCUCCUCUUCCUGUCCAGCUCUCUGCUGUGGCCCGGGAGUGCAGUGGAAGAUGGCCCAAGUCCUUGGGCCCUGCAUCCGCAUGGGAGACCAGGAGAAGAGCCUGGCUCCUGGUUUCGGAUCAGCGCGGUGCGCCUGCCGCAGCGCACCGGCUGGAGAGGCCAUUGGGGGGUGAACCAACGGCAAAGGAAGACCUUUCUCUCUGUCUCUCUCUCUCACUGUCCACUCUGCCUGUCAGUCUUUCUGAGUUUCAGGUACCUCAUAAUUAAAAUAAAAAUUCUUGUUUAUGUGGGUUUUAACAAGGGAUAAGAUACUUUGCAUAAAAUUUAAAAGUUGUGUCAAGCAUGAUGUGAAUCUAUUUCAUGAAUAUUGGCUCUUUUUUCUUCUUUUCCCAUUGAAAGUUCUCAAAUGGCCAUAGUAAAUACAAAAGCUGGAUUUUGGUUCCCUUGGACUGGGUAAGAACCACCUUUUUUCCCCCCAAGAAAGCAACUUUAGGUGAUCAAUGUCUACUCAAGGCUGAGAAUCCCUGAACUAGAUACUCACUUAAGGUCUUUUUGAUUGAGAACACCAGGAUAAAAGAAAAUCACUACAUAUUUACUAUUAUUAUAGCAAGUUGUUAUUAAUGAUAUUUGCAAUAAAAAUGCAGAAAGGGAGACAUCAUGUGAGGUAAAAUUUGAAGUAUUUGUUCGUUCAUUCUCUUUAGUGGUUUCUUGAACUAUAUCCAGGCACUGUGUGAAAGCACUGCGUGUAUAAAGAUGAAAUGGGCACAGUCAAGCAGCUAGAACACAGUUUGGUGUGAUGCAAGUUGUGGCAGGGGAGGUGGAAUUCACUACAAAGCCACACAGACUAUGCAUGGAGUUUACCUUGCAAAGAAGUUCAGAUAUUAUUCUUUGGAGUUUGACAGCAUAUGAAGAAUAUUGAGCAGGUAGGUGAAGGGAUGAUACUUUAGUGUUAUGAAAUAUUAUUCUUGUGUAUUUGAAAUGAACAGCAGGGAUGUAGGGUGAUCAAGAGAGUUGGAAUGCCUCAUGCUGAGAUAUUACAGUGGCGAUGAAGUGGGGGGCAGGCUUGUGAGAUAUGUUGGAGGUAGACAGGACUUGAAGACCAGUAAUGUGAGGGAGAGCAGCUUUGGUGACAUUUAGGUGUCUGAGUUGGUUGUGGAAUCAUUCACUGAAGGGCAAUGGCAAGGUUGUGAGUGGGCAUCCAGUGAAUUCAAUUUUGAACCUGUUGCCAAUGAGACAUUUGAAAAUAUGUUACCUAACAAGUGGUCACGUGGUUUGAAUAUGUUUUGUCCCCACCAAAAGUUGAGGCUUAAUUCUUUAAUGUUACAGUGUUGGGAGGUAGGCUCUAGUGGGAGGUGCUUGGGUUGGGAGGCUAGAGACCUCAUGAAUGAGUUAAUGCUUUUCUCCUGGUGUUGAGUGAACUUUCAAUCUGGAGGGGCUGGAUUGGCUGGCAAGAGAGGAGGUGGUUAGAAAGUCGGCAUACCCCUCUUGUUCUCUCUCUCCUACAUGUACCCACUUAACCCCUUCUGUUAUCUGCCAUGAGUUGGAGAGGCUUGAAGCCCUCACCAGAUACGACUGCCUGAUGGUGAACUUCCCAGCCUCCAGAACUGUGAGCUAACAUAAACCUGUAUUCAUUAUUUCACCAGUGUCAGGUAUUCUGUGAUAGCAGUAGGGAAUGGGCUAAGACAGGUGGCUGAUACUUGGAUCUGGAAGAUGGGGAAAGUCCCCCCAUUUGAGAAAAAGAUAGGGAAUCAUGAAGAUGAUGUUCGAAGCCACAGAUGCUUUUGAAAUGACUAGAUCAAGUAGAAGAGUAAGAGAAAAACCAAGGACAGGCCUGAGGGAUUGCCAGUAUAAAUUGUGGAUGGAAGAGGAGCCAGAGAGGAAAGGCCAGAGAACAAGAAGAGAACCAGGAAAGGAGAGUUUUGGGGGGGGCAUCAAGGAGGGGGAGUUUGAGGGCAGGCAGACCAGCCAGCAGCACAGGCAAUGGAGGAGUCAAGUAAGGUGAGGCCUCAACUACAAUCAUUGGAUUUGGCCCUUAGGUGCGUGACAGAGCCUCACUGAACUUCUAUAAUGAAAGGUGUGGGGAGUCUAAGAACUGGGUGGCAGUUUCCCUCCCCUGACUAGUUCCAUUCUUUAAAAGGCUUUGAAUGAGCUCCCCUCGGAGCUGUGACUCUGCUCACAAGGCAUUCAGUCCAGGCCUCACUGGACAGGUGAGGGAGUUAAGAUCUAGAAAGCUAGUGACUUGCUUGAUAUGUAGUGGAGAAUUCAAGUCCUUAAUCCAGAGCUUUCCCACCUACAAGGGCACUGCUGUCCACUCAUUUCCUACUCACUCAUGUGUUGCUUGUUUGCUCUCUGGUGGUUUUGUUAAUGUAGCUUGUGGUUUUCCAAGGCCAAAGAGUAGAAACUACAUCCCUACUUCCUUGUCACCUUAGCUUUUCCUCAUUUUUGACUUCAUGGAUAUUUUAAAGAAUAAAUGAGCUAUCACGGAUAAACCCUUCCAAAAAUAUGGUACACAGCAUUUCAAGAAAUGUGGUUGGACAGUCAGAAGGCAUGUACAUGGAAUGGAACCGGAGAAAUCCAGUGCAUCAGAGUUAAACUGGUGGUAACAUCAGCAAAACACAAGGGCUAAACAGAAAUAGGCGAAAGAGCCAUCAGCCUGCCUUACCUUCAAACUCAGCCCCAGACGUGUGCAGAAUUCUCACUUCCAGCUGUCCUCUGAUGUCACCCUUAUCCAGUCUAACUCCACAUGGGCAAUUAAAUCUUACUGAUUCAAUUGGACGUGGUUCUCUCUUUCUCUUUCCUGCUUUGUUUUUUCUUCUUGUCACUCAGAGCUGAUUGAGGUCAACCCAAAAGUGUUUCCUGAGUUCAAGGAAGCAGUAAAGAGAAUUUAAAAAAACCCACUUGAUGGAUUGUGAGAAAUAAAAUUCUCUUCAAUAACUAGGCAGAUGUUACUGACUUUGCUAUAGUUCUUAGCUAGUCUGAGGUCUAGGGGCUUAGGACAGAGCUGAUGAUCUGGAAAACUACUUUUCAGUUCUGGAACUUGAUCAGAGCAAGGCUGGCCUUCAUGCCUAGGGGACUCUGGUACAUCAGCAGACAUGAUCCUCAACAAGGAGCAGAAGUAGAGGGAGCUGCUCUUCACCUAUUUGCCCCUUCCCAUGAUACCCCUCUCUUCCCCUGCUUACCUGCCUAAUUACCGCCCCUGGAUGUCUGUGAUACAUUCUUUUGAUUUUGUUCUCCAUGGGCUCUCCCUCAAAGUGUAAUUGGAGAACCAGAGUGUUAGCUAAUAAGGCCUUGAAGAAUUGCAGAAGGAAAAAAGUCAAAAGACUGGCAAAAAGUAGAUAGGGGAGCUAACCCGAGGUCCCAUGGCAAGUUAGUCAGUGUGCCUGUGGCCUUUGGAUCUCUUUUGGGGCUCAUAUGGGUCAGUUCUAGACACAAAGUCCUUGUCUCCACUUCCCUCAGAUUGAACACCUGAGUUCUAGGAGUUGCUUCAUUCUGCUGUGCUUGGAAAUAAUCAUUUCUCCUUAGGUUUUUCAUAUAGAGGAAUAUAAAGGAAAGCAGAAACUAGGGGGUGCUGUGAGAUUGUUUCUCUGCAUUCUAGGUGCUUCAUGCCCACUACUUCUACAACUGCAUAUUUAACAGAACUUUAUGAGAUAAAAUUUUAUUUUACCAUUUUAUAGAUAAGGAAACUGAAGUUCUGAGAAUGUAAGUGAUUGCCCCAAAUAACACACAUGGUAUUGACAGAGGCAAGAUGCAACACCUAGAUUGGUAUUUUUGCCCCUUACUAUGCAAUGGUCUCUGCUCUGAGUUAUCUGGACAAUUACUCAGUUCUUCCCUGGCCUUGCAGAGUGCACAGACUGGCCGUGUUCCUAGGACUCCCUUUCUAACUGUAGAAGCAUUGUGAGCCUGUCUGAGGAUAAAGGCGGGUGCCCUUCGCUCUGGAGAGCUUGGCCCUCACUCCUACAGCUCCAGGUCUCGUCCUGAAAUCCCUGGCCUGCCUUUGGGAGCAUAUCCCUCUUGUGAAAGCCUGCUUCUAUAGCACCCUCUGUGUGAUUCUAACAAGGCUAGCAUUUUUUAAAAUACUAUUCUGCCCUAAUUUCCAUACAUGUCUGUUUAUCUAGAAUAUAAAGCCAUGAUGUCCAUGGAGAUCUUUUUUUUGGACACCCUUGCUUGGCAUGGCAGAUGUGCAAUAAAGGUUGAAUAAUGAAUGUUGGACUGUUUUAGGCUGACACAAAUAAUUCUUGCCUGAGUGUGUGUGUGUGUGUGGGGGGGUGUGGAAUCAAGUGCAACAGAGGUGACUUGCUGUGUAAAGACAAAGGCCAGCAGUAGGCUGGAAACAUCAGGAUACAUUGCUGAUCGCAGUUCGUCCACAGAUUUGGCAGAGGGGAAGAAUGAUGUCAGAUGGUUCCUGUUCAAGUAUCAGUUCCUCUAAGUGAUUAAAAAGAACUUCCUUGACAUGGAAAUGCUUAAGUCUGCUGAUGCAUCAGUGAUGUUGAUCUUAUUUAUAUUAGUGGCUGUCUUAUUUGAAUAUUAGAUUCACACUGCUUUCAGCCUGAGGUGAUCUCUUUGAGGGAAACAGUAUGGGGAAUGGGUUGAGAGAUUAGCUUGGAGGACAGAGAAAUCCUGCAAGGAAGGCCCUGCUUAAGGGAGACCUUUUUGGUUGUGAUGAGUGUCCCAAUUAGGAGGCUGUGGACAGCCGGAAGCAACAUGAGUUGUUGGAGGGGCUGUAAUAGGAUGAGAACUCCUGAGAAUGGAAAGAGAACAGAGAGAGCAGGAAAGGACCAGAAAACGAUGACACCCAUUGGAUGGGGAGGGCAAGUUUGCAAGGGAGGGCUGUCUCCCACGAUUGAUGCCUGAGUCAGAAUAAGGCUUGUCAGAGAAGUGACAAUAUUUGUCUGUGAUUGUGAGUAUGUCCCUUGAAAAAGAGGCUUUCUAUUGGGUGUAAAUGGUAUCCAGCACCUAGGAGGUCUUAAUGAACAGGAAAUUAAUCUGUGAUCAAAGAUACCUUAGUUACCAGGAACAUAACUUAUUAGAAGCUCCAAUUAACUGAUAUGUAUAAGACAAUCUGCGAUUAUGGGAAAGUAGCAAGAAGGAGGAAGCAGUAAUUUAUGGGGGCUGAUUUAGGGGCCAAAUGCUAGAUCUAGAAAAUUGCCUACAUUGUCUACAUCUUACUAAUGAGAGUUGACUUUCAGAACGAGAGCUCUGGAGUCUUGCAAGAUUCUCAUGCAUCAAAGUUAGAUCAUCUGGUGAAGGUGAGGCUGGCAGGUGAUAUAACUGUUCUUUGAACAAAUUCAUCAGAACUUGCAUACAAAGAUGGAUUUAACUAUUAAGUCAAAGCUGAUGUAGGAACAUGUACUGUAGUUGUAUCCGGGUAACUCCCCUGGUUCUUUCAUUACCAACAGGGCCUUAUGAGUCUUUCUUCUGAGUAUCUCCAGUGGAUUCAAACCUUCUUUUGUUGAUAAUGGGUAGGACUUAGGAAAGCAUACUGUUGUCUCUGAUUUCAAGUUUGGCGAAGAACACAGCUGAUCCAGGUAUAGAGCAUUGAUUUUGAUACAACAGCAUGUAAGACUUUGAUAGUGUCAUGGGGAUGCUGAAGUAUGUAUCAAUCACCAACAUUUGAACACAGCCCACUGGAGAACUCAGGGCUCCUAGGAAGAGCACAUUCUGAAUAGAGCCUCUCAAGCUGGUGCCACAGCAGUGCUGUUGUGCCUGUAGCAGCCUGAACAGCUCCUGAAGCCAAAACCUUUUCCGCACGUAUUGAAGAAAAUGGAUGAAGUACAGCUGAGUGGAAUUCUUGGACCAACACUGCUGCAUAUUCAUGCCUCCUGUAGAAUCUUUGAGGAGAAAGAGUUUUGUUUGCAGAGUAAUGAAAGUGUGGUGAGCAUAGGAUUUGGUUUUACAGAGCUGAAUUUCAAUUCUGACAUUAGUAGACCUUUAAAAAUCAUGAAAUAUCUUGGAGCUUUGGUUUUCCUUCAAGGCAGAUGGAGAGAAACAUAGAAGGCCCUUAAGGAGCUGAAAGAAAAGACAUGGAGAAUGCCCUAAACACACUUGUAUCCUCUUAAUUUUUUUUUUUUUUGACAGGCAGAGUGGACAGUGAGAGAGACAGAGAGAAAGGUCUUCCUUUUGCUGUUGGUUCACCCUCCAAUGGCCGCCACGGCCGGCGCGCUGUGGCCGGCACACCGCGCUGAUCUGAUGGCAGGAGCCAGGAGCCAGGUGCUUUUCCUGGUCUCCCAUGGGGUGCAGGGCCCAAGUACUUGGGCCAUCCUCCACUGCACUCCCUGGCCAUAGCAGAGAGCUGGCCUGGAAGAGGGCAACCGGGACAGAAUCCAGUGCCCCGACCGGGCCUAGAACCCCAUGUGCCGGCGCCACAAGGUGGAGGAUGAGGAUUAGCCUAGUGAGCCAUGGCGCUGGCCUAUCCUCUUCAAUUUAACUCCUAUUUGUCCUUAGACGUUCUGCUCAGACAUGGCUUCCUUCAGAAAAUCUAAAUCUGUUAGGCACCCUUUUCAUACACUUCUCAUCCCAAUCAUAGCUCCAACGUACUUCAAAGCAUUUGUUUAAUGUCCACAUAUUAUGUAAAUUCUUUUAUUCCCUAAUACCUAGCACACUGCUUGACACAUAGCUGGUUUUCCAUACACAGUGAUUAUUGAAUGAAUGAAGUAAAUGAAUAAGUAGUAGAGGGUAUGUGUUUCAUUCAUUUGCUCACUGAGGGAAGAGGCUCUCUACUGUGGCAGAACAAGACUGGAUAUAAGAUUUUUAUGGGCCCAAUUUUGUGCUGCCAAAUCAUAGAAUGCUGGGAAUGGUCAGCAGGUGAGGUAGUUCGGAUGUAUCAGUCUGACUUUGUUCUCACAUCUUGCCUUACCUCUGACCACAGCUAGUUGUGGAGAGGAUCACUCAUGACAGGUGAGCCAAGUGGGGAAAUGAAACGUUUUUUGCAUUAAAGUGUUAAAAUAUUUAGUUCAUGUGGUUAGUGGCAAUAUGAUUGGUAGAAGGAAACAGUUAUUUAUGUUGAGUCUUCAGAGUUUAUUAGGUACAGUUGUUUAUUUCAGGAUUGAUUCUACUCAUUGGGUUGGAAGAUGGGUGGGGCUGUCAGAUUCAUGGUGGGUGUAAAGACAUUUUGAUUUGUGCUGAUGACAUAGCAGUGUAUAUGGUAUGUGUGUAUCUAAUGGAUAUGGGGCCAAAUGACAUGACUUUGUGUGACAUUUCAUGCCCCUUCUGCAGGUGACUUAAUAUUUCUGAUUAUCCAAUCUAAGUCUCAGUUUCUUUGUCUAUAAAGUGGGUACAGUAAUAGUGACUUUGCAGACUUGUUGUAGGAUGAGAUUCAUGGCGAAUCAAGGAAAGAAAUCAUGUAGGACAUUUUGACAGUUGUACAAGUUGAACCCAAUGAGCAUGAACGUGAACAAUUUCUGUCAUGACAGGUACUGAGAAAGUUGGCACUCCCCUGUUGCUCUUUCCUACAAUGAAAUCAGCGUUCAGACCCCAGUUGGUAUAUAUGUAAAUAGAAAAAUAAUAUGACCAAAGUAAACAAAAGUUGGAAAUUGCAUUUGUAUAAUUUAAGAGUGGUUUAUUUUUUAAAAAUUCAAGUCAUUUGUUUUCAUUCAAGCCAUUUCCUCUUGAUUUGAGUGGAUUAUUGCUUUGUCGUUAAUUGCACUUUGCUUAGAGCUUUCCCCAUUCAUUGCAGGACCAGAUACCAUUCUUUUGUUGAUAUAACCACUGACCUUAUUAAAGUUGGUUCAGAUAAAUCAUGAUCUGUGCGAUAAGACGGAAACUAACACAAACAUGGAAAGCUGGUCACCACAUGGAGGCUGGUAUAAAUAAAUGCUCUACAAUUCGUUAAUGGGGGCACAUUUUAGCCUAUAGUUCUGAUUUUCUUUUCAAUUCAUUUGCAGGCUCUCUGGGAAAUGGGGGGAGGUGGUACUGAGAGUUUACUUGCAGAUUUGCAUACAGUGUUACAUUUUUAAGAAAUUUCCAAUGCAUUUUGAUUCAGACAAGCUUUUGUUGGCUGAGAAAUUAUAUCAUGCACCCAAAAUAGUUUUGCAGAGUGUGGUGUUGAGUGCCAUUUUAUUCCCAUGAACUAGAAGUUCAGUACAAAAGGCCAGGAUUGAGAAAUGCAGUCUGACAUUUUCUACACUUACAUACAUCUCACUUAUGGCUGAAACUCUCCUGAAACUGAAAGUUUAAAUUUUCCAAGACUAUGUCAAGGGGGAGAGAUCCUCAAUGCUUAGGAGGUGCAGAGGCAUCUCAUUUGUGGGAGCUAUUCCGACUUUCUGAUUCUUUAUUAUGUGUGCACCACAGAAAGUUGUUUAAUGUUAAAUAUAAAUAAUGGCCUUCAAGCUAUAGCACUCAUAUUAGUGAAUUUAAAUACUAUUGUGUAUAUGUAACCAUGUUCAGAUUAUUUGAUACUGCUUGUGCUGGUGUAUUAUCACAGAGCAUUCCAGAUGCUUUUCUCCUAUUUUGUGAAGUUUUAUUUUGUGAGAGGAGGUAGAUGUUUUAAAAUUUAAUAACAAGGUUAUAAACGUCAGUUUCAGAUAUAAAGAAUGGUUGGUUGAGAACAGAGCAUGUCCAAAGCUGAAAGAGUAUUUUUUACUACCAUCUAGAGGGACCUAAGGAGCAAUAGAUGAGUAUUUUUGAUAGUAGUUGGGGAGGAGUUAGUGUCCUCUGUUGAAAUGUAAUUGUUUUACUUAUCUGCCCCUUAUCUUCAUUGACCCGCAUACAGUUGGCUCUCCAUAUCCAUUGAUUCCACAUCCAUAAUUUCAUCCAACCAUGGAUGGAAUAUAUGCAUAUACCUUUACUUUUCAUGCUAAUGUGAUUUAAUAUGAAGAGAACAGAUUCAAUGUAAUUCCUAGAUAAAUUUCAAAGAAUAUAGUGAUAUUCCCUCCCCCACUCUUUCUUUUCCUUCCUUCCUUUCUAAAUUUUUGAGAUAUCAUUUUAAAUUUACAUUAGUUAGAUUAAAAAUAUUAGAUUAUAGUUAGAUUAAAAAAUAGUUGAAGAACAAAUGGCACCUCUACUAAAUGUACAGACUUUCUUAUUCUCUAAACAACACACUACAGCAAUUAUUUAUAAAGCAUUUACUUUGUAUUAGGCAUUGUAAAUAAUCUAGGAUGACUUACCAUUAUACAGGGGGAUGUGGGUAGGUUGUAUGCCAAUGCGACAUAGUUUUAUAUAAAGGGCUUGAGUAUCCUCAAAUUUUGAUAUCUGGUAGCAAUCCUCCAUGAAUCCUGAGAGAGGCUGUAUUUACUUACUGGAAAAGUAAUUAUCUUAAUUCAUUUUCAUUUUUCUCAGGGUAGAAGGGAGAAAUCUGAGCAUCCUUUGUACAGUCUUUCCCUCCUAGGCAGUCUUCGUUCCAUGCUUUCACAUGCAUGUGACUAAAUCAUAGGUGGAUAAUGCAGAGCCACCCUCUACUAAGUAGCAGAAUCCAACUGAGCAGUUAGCAAAUAGUAGACAACUGCAAUUGCCACAUCCUGCAGAUUUUUACUUUGUGGUCUCUCUUGAUUCUGCCACCUCAUUCAUUUGCACCCACCCAGUCCAUGCUCUGACCCAUGCAAGCCUGGACUAAAUGCUCAUCUGUCUCAUGCAAUCCAUUCUCCACAGCACCAUCAGAUGUAUGUUGCUACCAUGGCCAUUCCCCUCCACCGCUUCCUGCUUGAACCAUAGCUGACAUUCUUCACUGCUUGCUGAGGAAGUGCCAACUUCUUUUGCUUCAUUACAGCUUCUCCCGCUGUGACUCUGAUUAAUUAACCCAUCAUCAUUGAAAAACAUCUGAGCAUGCUGAUAAGUUCUGGGGUCAUGGUGGCCACCAACAGGACAGGCAGUGCCUCUGCCAUCAUGGAUCUUAUGUCCUAAUGAGGGAGACAGAUAUGGAACAGUUUAUGAGGCCAUCAACGAUUGAUUACUGAUUGUGUGAAGAGCUGCAGAGGAGAAGCAAUGUGUGCUUCGGAAGAGUGUUACAAGUACAUGAAGAGGGAGGCAAGCUGAGAUCCCGAGGUUGUCUGAAAGCUGAGCACGUUAAUGAGGUUGAGUGAGGAUUUCGGGAGGAGGCCAAGGGAACAGCCUGCAAGAAGGACUAAGGGACACACAGGUAGGAAGAGUAAGGAGGAUGGGGGCAGCUCAGAGGAUAGAGAGGAAGAUGGGCUCUGCAGACAGGCUAACAUGUUGUACUAUCCUUUUUGAGCAGCAGGAAACUGUGAGUAGGAUAUGACUUAACCAAAUCUGAGUUUUAUAGAGUGUGCAGUGAGAGAGUGAGUCUGGGAGCAUGCUGGGGUGCACACAGAAGACCACCUUGGAAGCUCUUGAAAAGCCUGGUUGCCGUCAGUAGUGGCCUCCAUCACAGAGUAGGGGAACUGGAUUUGAGACAGUUCCUGGUGGUGGACUAGAUAGGAUUUGGCAGUGGUCUGGACAUGUAGGUAAAGGAGUGGCAGAACACAUAUUGGGUUGGUGGUGACAGUCUCCAAAUUAAGAAAUAAUGGAGGAAGACGAAGUUGGGGAGAAAUACUAGGCAUUUAGUUUUCCUAUUUGACAUUCAAAUGGUAAUUUUUAGUAAGCAAAUAAACUGAAAGACAGUAUUGCAGAGUGGUUAAGGGUGGUCUCUGGAGUGCCUGUGACUAGCAGCUGUGUGACCUUGGGAAAAUUACUUAACCUUUCCAUGCCCCUUGGUGCCUUCAUCUGUGAAAUAGGAAUGAUGACAAUAGUGCUUACCCCAUAAAGUUCUUGUGAGGUCUGAAUGAGUAUAGGAUACAUAAAGAACUUAGAUUGGUAUCUGGCCUAGAGUAUCACAAAAUGUUAGUCAUUCUUAUUAUUUAUAUACAAAUAUAAAGCUCAAAAAGUCUCAGCUGCUCGUGUAAACUUGGGGCUUGUUCAUAUGUGCUAAGUGAAGCCACAUGUUGGGGCAAUGCUGUUUUGAGAACGUCUGUAGAGUAAGGGAGGAAAAGGACUAGCUGUAGUUCUCAGAGAAUCCAAGACUGGACUGAAGAAGACGAGUGAGCCAAGGUUCCUGAGACUGACUGGGGCAGAGAAGGAGAGAGAGGAGAAAUUCAGAAGCAAAGAGAAGAGAGGGCUUUGAGGAGGAAGCAGUUUGCAGCAGUGUCAAAUGCCAUUAAGUGUGCUUUAAAUGCUAAGGCUGAAAAUGUUCACCUAAGAUUUAGCAAGCCAUUGAAAACUUGCAAGUUUUGGGUGGUGUGGUAAAGAUUGUGGCCAACUUGAAGGGGGAGGGAUGUGGGGACAUUAAAUGGGAACACAUUAUUAGAGAAGUUUGGCUUGUUAGUAAAGGGAACUUCAGUGGGGUGCACAGAGUUACUUUCUAGCCAAGAGUGCACUAAUCUAUAAGGACUGAUCCCUAAAGAGUUGAAAAUCCCCUCUUGUUGCCACAAGGAGGGCCUAGCUCCCCUGGCUGGAGGCUUCAGUGAGAUGAAGGAGUUCAUUUCAGUGCUUUCCUACCUUAACAGAGUUGUGGCAGUGGUAGAAGUGACCUGUGGUUUCCAGGUUGCUGUAGGCUUCAGUGCCUUUGACUUCCGCAGGGACCAACAAGAGAUCACCACAUGGAGAAGAAGCUGAAACACUGGGGACUGGGAACAUGCAGCCAGACUCUGUAGAGAAUGCACUAGACCCCUGACUUGGAGGGAAAGUGGACUCGCAGACACGAAGGCUGGAUUUUGAGUGUUUGGGAAGAGCGUUCCUCUUUGUUGAUUUGGAUGUAGAGGAGACUCCAGAUCAAAAGCACUGAGUGAAUGAAGGAAGCAACCGCGACAGGACUGGCAUUUGGGGAGGAUCCUGAAGGAGAAUGCAAGUUCCUGGAAGGAGGGAACCACUCAAGGAGCAUCUCCAGAACCUUGUCUGGAAAGGCAGUGUUGGAAGAAAUUGUGACAACAAAGAACGGAGCACGGUGCCUGGUACAUAAGUAAGCUCCUCACAUUCUCAAUAUUCCUGCUACUGUUCUACAAUGGAUCACUUCUUCCGUCAUUCAGAAAAAUUCAAAACAACAACCAAGACAAUCACCCCAAUAGCCCAUAUACACUCUUUGUGAGAAUGUUAAUUUGUAGAGCCAUUAUAGAAAACAGAAGGUUCUUCAAUAAAUUAAAAUACAACUUCCAUUUGCUCCAGAAAUCCCUCCUUUGGGAAAUGAAAUCAACACCUUACAGAGACAUCUGCAUUAUUCACAAUACUGAAGAUCGGAAAACAACCUAUGUGUCCAUUGAGAAGUGACUGAAUAAAAAAAAGGUAAUAUACACAAAAAGUGGAGCAUAUUCAUCUUUUAAAAAGGAGAUCCUGACAUUUGUGAUAAUGUAGAUCAAACUGCAGGGAAUUAUGUGACUAAGCCAUGAGCAAAAGACAAAUGCUGCAUGACCUGACUUAUUCAAGGAAUCUGAAAAUGCUUAAUUCAUAGAAGUAGAAAAUAGAAGAGUAAUUACCGGGGGUUGUGGUGUGUGUGGGAGAAAUGGAAAGAUAUUGGUCUAUGGUGUACUGUUUCAGUUCUGCAAGAACUAAAGUUCUAGAGAUUUUAUAUAUAUAAACAUGAUGACUGUCAUUAAUAAUACUGUAUUAUAAACUUAAAUUUUUCUAAGAUAGUAGAUCCUAAAUUUCUUUUUUGACAGGCAGAGUGGACAGUGAGAGAGAGAGAGAGAGAGAAAGGUCUUCCUUUACCAUUGGUUCACCCUCCAAUGGCCGCCGCGCUGCAGCCGGCGCACCACACUGAUCCGAUGGCAGGAGCCAGGUACUUAUCCUGGUCUCCCAUGUGGGUGCAGGGCCCAAGCACUUGGGCCAUCCUCCACUGCACUCCCUGGCCACAGCAGAGAGCUAGCCUGGAAGAGGGGCAACCGGGACAGAAUCCGGUGCCCCGACCAGGACUAGAACCCGGUGUGCCGGCGCCGCAAGGUGGUGGAUUAGCCCAGUGAGCCGCGGCGCCGGCCCCUAAAUGUUCUUAACAUACACCAAAUGGUAACUAUGUGAGGUGAUAUAUUUGUUCGAUAAUUUCACAAAACAUACAUAUAUCAAAACAUUGUAAUUACAUGCAUUUUAUUUGUCAAAGUUAUAACUUAAUAUAUAAAAAUAAUUUAUAAAAACAAUAAAACCAAAUGUGGCAUUUUUAUUGGAAUAUCACUGGCUUAGAAAUAGGACUAUUUGUUACAAAUCUGUUCCUCCAUGGAGUCCUGUUUAAACUGUAGUAAUAGAUAACCAUGAUCAUAAGAUGAACUAUUUUAAGAAUUUUUACUUAUGUGAAGUAAGGUGAUUUUGACUUCGUCUAUAACCUUUCAUGUGAUCUAAUUAUAAGUGGUCAGGGAACACAAAGAUCUUUAUUCUUUAGAAAUCAAACAGGCAGGUCUGGCUUUAUUGCUGAGAUGAGUCUUCCUUGAAACCACAGCCUUAGUCUCCACCAGUGACCACUGACAGCGCAUUCUUGCCCCUUGUGGGUGUCUCGAGACCUGUCAGCAGUCAGAACUGCUGGGCAUUGAUUAGCCAAUAAUAAUUUAGUAACUAACAUAGGCAGCCUUAUUAGGGAUUGUCAGAGCUAGAAUAAUUACCACACAAAUUCAAACCAUCUGGCCUAUAAGAGAGUAUGUCUUCCAUAAGUUUUAUCUUCCUGUUUCAGUAAUAAAUUAUUCUAUCACAUUCCCAAUAAAACACUGGAGAGGAGAGGUCAAGUGACCUUGAAGUUUCUGAGUUAAUUCAGUCUCUGCAGCUCCACAUUUUAUCACCAUCUCCAAACCAUGGGAGCAUUUUUUUUCUUUUCCUAUUGGCCUGACAGCCAGGAAUGCCACUAGUGAGUUAUAGGAAUUGAGGAAGCAUUCGUCAAGCCCUGUUCAUAUGGGCAGGUGGCAGGAGGGGGAGGGGGGGUGCAUAGCCUAGGAGACUGGAUUCCAAAUCUGAUUAAUUAUCAGAAUCACAUGAGGAGUUGUCUAGAAACAGAUUCCUUUGCGUUAGAGGAUGUGCUUUGGUGGCAUGGAGUGGAUCCUGGUGUACUGGCUCGUUUAUGCAAAGGUAACACACAGCAUAGAAAUCUCAGUGACUCACACAAACAUUUGUGCUCACGUUUCAUGAAGGUUGCGGUCUUCUGUGGCUCAUUUGGGCUUGCCUGGACUUGAACUAGAAACAUGUGUAUUCUCAUUCCAGAACCCAGUUGAAGGAGUAUCUGCUAACUAGGGCAUGCCGUUCUCAUAACAGAGGGCAGAAACUCAAAACAGUGCCAAACCAAACCAUGCCAACACAUCUAAUGUUUCUAAAUUGGUGUGGUCUUCAUCAUGUCCACUUAUCAUUCAUCAACAAAGGUCAUGCCCAGGGUCCAUGGGUAAGGAGUAAACCCCACCUACAGGAAAACAAGGAAUAUAAGGUAGGCCUAGGAGUAGGAAGGUAGAGAAAUACUUGUAAAUGAGUGGUACAGUUUAUUACACUUAAGAAUAUACGUUUUAAAAGCUCCUUAGAAGAUCCUGAUGAAACCACUGAACCUUGUUAUUUUACGGAAAAGAAUCUUCCCUGAUGCACCUGUUGUGAUGACUAAGCAACUAUUAGUGGUUUUUCAGCAGACAGGCUGCACUAAGUGCAACUCAAUCACUCAUUCCAUCAACUAACAUGUGUACCCAACACAUAUCGAAAUCUGAUGCUUCUAUAAAGCUUAGGAGUUCUUCCAAAUUGUAGUUGUCUUAACUAUCCUAUUAAAUGGUAUUGUUGCUCCCAUUUUGAAAAUAUGGGAAAUGAAAUGACAGACCUCUAGAAAAGAGUGAACCUGGCUUGAUCAUGUGCUUGUCCAUGUCUGAACCUCCUCCUGCUACAAUGGAUGCCCUGGCAGGCCAAGCCCUGUUAUUGCCAACACUUCCUCUCCAGCACACACUAGCACAGACAUUGGGAUCUUUGAUGUAAGUUUUAAUUAACUUAUUUAUUUGGCAAAUAUUUAUUAAGCACUCAUCACAUUCCAGAUACUAUUCUAGGCACUAGCAAGAUAAGCAGCAGGAUAAAAUUGACAAAAAGCCCUGCUUACCAUCUGGCCAAGGGACAUGGAUGUUAAACAACUGAACAAGUAAACUCAUGUUAAAUGGCAACAAUGGGAACUUAUGCCAGAUGGGGACAAGUGCCAUGAGGAAAAAUAACAGAUUUUUGGCAUGGUCAGAGUCAGCCAUGGCUAGAUAUUACAGGAAGUAAAUCCUUUUAAAGACAUGAAGAGAGAAUGAUUAAACUGUUUCAUCAGAGGGCAGAAUAGUUCUAGGACCUCCCUCAAAUAAUUCCCAUGCUUCAAAAUAUAAACAAUGAACUCACACUGAAUUUUAUGGGAUAAACCAUGUUUCUCUUGACAGAUCAAUUGCUGAAAUUCAAUUCUUAUUAAAGUGAAUUAUGUGGCCAUUCCAAAUACUUUACUGAGGAGGAACAGUAAAAGUAAAUAAAAAUGAGUAUGUUUUCUUCAUUUGUAAUAAAUACCAUCUUAUGAGCUGCAUGAGGUGUCAAUUACCACAUGGCAGGCAAACCUUGGGACAUGGCACACCUUGCAUAAUGAUAAGACAGGCAUCCUGAAGGGUAUCGUGUUUUAUAUAGCAAAUUUCCAGCAUAUUCACUACCUGCUGAUUUUGUUUAUUUGCUAUUAUUAUUUGUGCAUAAUUGUAUUUAUUUAUGGGGGUAACACUACUCCCUGCUUAUUCCUAUUAGGACUUCUUUUCCCUGGAAGAAAACUGAGGUACAAUGUUACUGUUUGAAUCUCCAUUUAUUCAUUCAACAAAUAUAUGUUGGUUUCUUGUCAUAUGCCAGGAACAGAACACACAGCAAUGAGCAAAACAGAUAAACCUCCCUUCCCCUUGUGGAGCUUACUAUCCAGCCAGACGGAGGUGGAUAUUAACAGCAGCAUUUGCUUGUUUGAAGAAGAUGCGUGAGCUCUUAGGAAGAAAAGUUCAAACAGCCCUUGUCCUAAAGCCUUGGGGUUACGGGCAGACAGGAAGCAGCUGAGU